rnacentral:lncRNA from 1 species
GCACCGGGAAUAUGACAAUCACAUCUGAGCUUCAUCUGGCAAGUGACGGUUACUUUUGUGGUACAUGUACAUGAAAAGCACGAUCUCUGAACUCCAGAAUAACUAUAGGAUAUAGCUAGCAUCAUAGCACCAUAAAUUAUUCUUGUUUUGGUAACCACUUUUUUCCUAACACAAAAUUACCUUCUACUAGCAGUGAUGGAGACGAGGGACUGGACGUAACUAAUGAGCUUAUGAGUUGAGACUCGGUUUUCGGUGACGUUGAGUAGAUCACGAGGUUGAAGCCUGCAAUUUUAGAUGAUAGAUAGCAUGAGUUAGUUAAUGUGUUAUCUCUUCCGGUCGUUUUCUUUCUUGUUGUAUAUAUCAAGCUAGCAGCCUGGCUCAUACUCCAAACAUAUUGUAUGGCUACGCUGUGGGCUUUUUCUCAGCCUAUUAAUAUAUUGUGCGGCCCCUAACUAGGAUUAACGCUUCCUAUCUCUUUUUGAUGGAUACAUGGUGAUGAUGUCAGUAUUCUGGAGUGCAGGAAACAUGACAUUCUUGCAUGUAGGAGAUCAUAGUGAAGCAUCAGGUUCAGUGCUUCACAAGCACAUAGUGGUAGCAGAACACAUAUUAGCACAUACGUAGGAUUGGACAGCAUCCGGAAACCAAAGGAGCACAUCUUGACUCUUGAGUUGCUUGACCAUCCGGAUGAACAAGCAGUAGCAUUGAGGUGUUCAUGUUCGGAUGAACGCGCAUGCUGAAGAUAAUUUGUUAGGCAGGAAAUGGAGUCCAGCAAUGGCAUGGAGAUAAAUGAAAGAC